rnacentral:rRNA from 1 species
UCAAAACCUUAAAAACUAAACAAGCUUCACUAUAAACCUUAUAGUAAAAUUAAUGUUAGAAUUAGUAAUAAGAAAAUACGAUUUUCUCUAUUCCACAUGUGUAUAUCAGCAUGAACAAUUCACUGGUAAUUAUCAAUCCUAAUCAAAAACUUUUUCACCUGAAACACAAUUUACAAUUAUUGUUAAUCCUACACAGGAGUGGAAACGAAAGAUUUAAAAAUAAAAAAGGAAUUCAGCAAACACAAGCUUCGCCUGUUUACCAAAAACAUCACCUCUAGCUAAGUACACAAAUAUUAGAGGCAAUGCCUGCCCAGUGAAAAUUUUUAACGGCCGCGGUAUUCCGACCGUGCAAAGGUAGCAUAAUCACUUGUCUUUUAAAUCAAGACUAGUAUGAAUGGCAAAACGAAAGCUUAACUGUCUCCUUUAUUUAAUCAAUGAAAUUGAACUUCUUGUACAAAAGCAAGAAUACACAAAUAAGACGAAAAGACCCUAUGGAACUUAAACCACACUACCAAUUUAAUUUAUAAAAUCUUAAACACUGGAUCUGUUGGUUUUGGUUGGGGUGACCACGGAGCAAAACAAUCCUCCGAGAUAAUAUAACUAAGAUACACAUAACAAAGUAUUAAAAACUUAAAACCUUGACCCAAUACAUUUGAUAAACGAACCAAGCUACCCUAGGGAUAACAGCGCAAUCUUCUUUAAGAGUCCAUAUCACCAAGAAGGUUUACGACCUCGAUGUUGGAUCAGGAUAUCCAAACAGU